rnacentral:misc_RNA from 1 species
ACUUCCGGGAAAUUGAACUCGGGAUGUCGUUAGCAGUCGUCUAUAACAACAGCAGUUUCACUUUCAGCGAUAUCGUACCGUCGUUGCGCCUGCUGCCAUUCACUCUAUUUUUUUUAGUUUCACUAUUCUGCGAGACAUCUCAUGCCGAUAGAAACAUUCUGUUCCCAUUUCUACCAACUGAUGCCUCUAAAUCAGUAAUUUAAGAUGUGAGGAUAACUUCUGAAACUCUCUGAGGUAAUUAUCCAUUGGUGUACACAUUGCAUUUACUAUCAAACCCACUGCAAGGAGGAUGGUGUUCAAGGAAGUAUACAGCAUGUGUUCAACGCAGUUAAUUUAUACAGCAAACAGAGAUUCAGCUUGAGUGCAUAAAUGUUACAUUGAAACUUUUCCUCUCUUAACUUUGAUCUCCAACAUGUCUCAACUUCACUUCUGACUCCUCCAUGACUUUGAAUUUCUUUUACAUUUAAACAAUGUCUCUAAAAUUUGGAGCUGCUCAGGCCCCAGCUGAGCAAGCUGGGACUCCCCCUACUAACUAUGUGAUCAGGGAACCAAGUCCCCCGACCAGCAUAUUGGCUACAUUACAUGCAACCUCUACAGUUUCGAGCAGUACCUCCACAAUAUCUACUGAGUUAGAAGGAAAACAUACCUGGGCAUAUAUUUUAGUGCCUCUUGGAGCAAUUGUUUUCCUUGGGUUUGUCAUCUUUCUGAUUGUUGUAAUACUGAAGAAAAAUAGGUUAGACAAACUUCGGCACCAUCUGAUGCCAUUGUACAGUUUUGAUCCAGCUGCUGUAGAUGAAGACCAAGAUUGGGAAUGUGAAUUAUUAGAUGGAGAUAAAGAACAACAUGUUGCCCUGAGAUCUGAGAGCCCAAGUUUCCGACAUGCACCCAAGCUGAAAUUUUCUACAGAUCAUUCUGAACUGUAAGGAUAUUUCCCUCUGGAAGCUUAUUGUCUUACAAAUCCAGAAUCACCAACUUCCUUCCUCUGUUGUGUCAGCUCAAGUAUUCUCCAGUAUGUCUUCUGCUUUUGGCAUCAUUCUCCAGCACAAUAUUGUUGACAAAAGUUCAUUCUCUGAAAAGGAAAUAGAGAGAAAAAGAGGACAUAUAAAACAUGUUAUAACCAUUUUUGUUAACAAAAGUUAAUGUUUUGUUGUUUUUUUGUUAUUAUAUUCAUUUAUUAUUUUUUAGCUCUGAAUUUGUUUAUAGAGAUAUCAUCACCAGCACUCAUUUUUUUUUUUGUUCUCUCUCUCUCUCAAAAUAUUUGGAUAAAUUUCUCCAAAGCAAAAAGCAAGAUGUCUAUAUCUAGAUAAUUGUUUUUCUAACACCUAUUUUAACAAGUUCAUUUCUGUUGGAUAAUUCAGCAUAAUUUAGAAUUUUGAAGGUAGUGAAGCAUUUCAAGGUAUUUUAUUUCUCUUGUUUCAUACUUGAGCUUUGAUUGACAAAUACAAAGAUUAUUAUAAACGCUGUAUGAAUGGAUCUUUGAGGGAAAUCAAUGUAUUGCUAUUCUAACUUUAUUCUUAACAAAACUGAAGUCUCAAAAAUAUAAUUAUUCAAUGUAUUUUUCUCAAAAAAAUUUUUUUUUUAAUAUCUUUAGAUCUAUCUCUGGUGUUUAAAACCCAUAAAGAGCCACUGAGGUUUUCAUGCAGCUGCUUGUUUCUAUCUUAUUUGUUCUUUGACUAAGCUACUUCAGUAAGCUUCUUUUGAAAAAUCCAAAGUUGCAUCCUCAAGGUUAAUCAAAGAAAAGACUCAAGUUUUGUAAUCAAAGACAACCAGCUUGUUAUAUUUUACCAAUAUCCAACAAGAACUCUUCUCCAAAUCUUCUUGAAACUUUGUCUCUCUGUAGUAUUUAGAAUGUUUCUUGAUAACAUCUUUUAGUCCAUAUGUUUGAAUCCCUUGCUUUUAUCAUGCAUAUCUCUAGACACUUACCAUCAGUUUACUUUUUAAACUUGCCAACAAUUUCAGUUAGGGUAUACUUCUCUUUGAUUCCCUCAAUCUUAACUAUUUAGUAAGUCUGAACAUCAAAUACAUAUAUAUAUAUAUUUUUUAACUCUAUAACACUUCUUUACCAAUAAUGGUGGAAUUGUUUCCAAAUGACAAACCUUCCAGUUUUCUCUCUUGCAAAGUUUCAGUGCUGAAGAUAACCUUUCAAAACCUAGUCUUUUGUUUUUUGUGUUAUUUAUCCCAAGUGUAUCACAAACACUUAAAUUUUUCUUGUUUUAAAUCAUCAUUAAAAUGCAUAUUUUGUUAAUUAAUUACUAUUCUUAAGAAAAUGACAGAAUAUUUACCAAAAAUUCUAGUAUGUAUAUUUAUCCAUUUUCAGUUAGAAAAUGUUAUUUGUUAAUACCAAUAUUCUAGGCACUUCUGCACAUGUGUCAGUGCUGUGUUGCUGUUUCAAGUGCAGUUUCCGUAACUCUUAAAUUUGGGUGCUCUCUUUUGCCCACACAAAAACACAUGUAAACACAUGUAUACACUUACACACUUCUACAUGGUCAAGCUUAUAACUCCAGUCCACCCAUGACCAUAUUUCUAAGUGCCUAAUCCAAUGUUUUGCUCAAUAUUUGUUGCUGGUUUUAAAAAUUAAAGGCAACCCCAAUGUUGCUAAAAAUUCUCCUUAUUUCCUCUUCUAGCUUUAUAAUAUCUGAUCCUUGCUUUAAAUCAAUUGACCAUUUUUACCUUCUCCUCUCCUCCCUUAUGACAUCAUGUGGCUACAGUGACCUUGCUACUUCCCAUUCUCAAUACUCAGUAAUAUUGCUGAUAAUCAUACAAUUGUUGUAAUAGUUUGGGCUUGGUAACAGACCUUUACAGUUCAUAUAAUGUUGUGACUAUGAUGCUGGCCUCUAAUUCCUAUGAAAUAAGAACCAUACUUUGAUAAAUGUGACCAUUCAUUCAACGUUUCUUCUUUGUCUAAAUAUAUUUCCAUUAUGACUCCACCAUUGCAUGACUUUUUUUGAGUGAUCUUUGACUUCAGUCUUUUAAAGAAUAUGAAUUCUGACAUUAUUUGACCCACUUCAUUAACAAUAUUUACUCUAAUUAAGACAGCUGACAGAAUUGUCAGCAUGUCAGACAAAUUUCUACCAGCUUAACAUUGUAAUUCCACCAAAGUUGAUUUUGCCUUUCAUCCUUUUGGGGUCAAUAAAAUAAGAGCCAAUUGAUAUGAUCAACUAGCCCCCUCCCCUCAAAAUAUCAGGCCUUGUGCCUAAAAGUAUUUAUUCUCAUUUCUCUAAACUUCAGACAUUUUUAUCAUCUAAGAACUACUAACGGAUGGGGUUAAAUCAAUAUAAUUAUUUACUUCAUUAGUGUUACAAAAGUAUGAAGUAAUAUGUAAAGUUUUGUGCCCCAUUUUAUUCUUGAAGGGCAACAUGAAUAGCAAAAAAUAUUAUGUAAAUGGAAAUUUGUUUAGGAAUAGCAACCUAAUUAUAUGUGUACAUAAGUGGAAUGAGGAGCUUUAUAAUUAUCAGAGUAGGCAUCAUGGCUGAAAACGUAUAUCAUGGAGGUUAGGUGGAUGGAAUGGGACACAAUGUGAGAUAUGUGAAUGAAUAUUUUACAUUGCAAUGUUCAGCUUGGCUGAUCAUGAAUAACGACCAUAAUAGUGGUAACAGACAAUUAGGUAAUGACAUCAACAGCUACCAAUAUUAGACGAUUUAUAUAUUUUAAUGUGGUUGUGUAAUAUUGGUCGUGUUUAAAAAAUGUUACUAAAAUUAUGAAAUUAUCAUAACAGCAGCUUGUUCUUCUCUUGGCGAAAUUGAGAUUAUGUUUAUUGAAUUUGAAAGGAAUAUUUCAUGUGUGUGUGUGUGUGUGAUUAAAUAGAUAAAUACAUACACAUUAAACGUAAAAUAGUUAUCCAAAUUCCUAUGGAUAUCUUCUUCUUCUUCUCUUCUUCUUCUUCUUCUUCAGGUAGUCUUAUAUAAGAACAUAAUUCACUAGAACUUGUGAAAAUCUUUCUUUGAAUGACAGAGAAAUCUCCCUUUAAUCACAUCCUAUCAAAUGAUUAGAGGAAGACUUCUCAAAUGACAACAUAAAGGCUUUCACAUUGGCUCAGUGAUAUUUAGCAUUUUGAUAUAUAAGUCAAUAUAUUCUAUAUAAUUUAUUAUCAAGAUAUACAUCUUGGUAUCUAAUAUGUUUUAAAUGCAAUUAGAUUUGGAAUUUUUAGUUUUGUCCUUUUUUUUUUAGUGAAAUAUAUAGUUUCUGUUUUAUUAGAUUUGAAGAAGACCUGUUGGUGCAAAUAUUUUUUAAAGUUUUAGUUGCAUUCAUGUGUUGUCUUCUUUUUAAAUCUGUUUUAGGUUUUGUUUUUUGUUUUUUCAAUUAAUUCCUAAUUGAUUAAUCUGUGUAUGUGCACAUCUGGUAGCACACGAUAACAUUAUGCAAAUAUCAUUGGUGAAUUUAAAAGCAAAAAGUUCAAGUCAUUUCUGAUAAGUGUAAAAUGUAGAAUACACACAACUGUGUGGCGGAGAAGUUUCUUUUGCAAAUAU